UACGAAGGGUGCAAGCGUUGCUCGGAAUUAUUGGGCGUAAAGGGUUGGUAGGUGGUCUUGUUUGUUUAAGGUGAAAUCCCAUGGCUUAACUGUGGAAGUGCCUUAGAAACGGCAAGACUAGAGUCCUAGAGGGGUUUGUGGAAUUCCCGGUGUAGCGGUGAAAUGCGUAGAUAUUCGCAAGAACACCAGUGGCGAAGGCGGCUCACUGGCCCGGUACUGACGCUGAGGUGCGAAAGUGUGGGGAGCAAACAGG
rnacentral:rRNA from 1 species